rnacentral:lncRNA from 1 species
AAUAUCAUUGGAAUGAGCCCCCUUGGCAGAUGUACAGGUCCUGAUGACAGGUAUUUUCCAGGUCCAGGGUCCCACAAUCACAGCUCUAAAAGAUUCUCUGUGUGAAGUGUUUGAAGAAGUGGUGGACGUGACACUGAUCUUGGAGCUGCAUUCCCUGACUCUGUUAAGUGCAUUGUGUACACUACAAAGCCACAUUGCCUUUCGGCAGAAUGAGCACCAAAAAUUCAAGUCAUUACCAAGACUCUUUUCUUCCCAACAGAUACUUUCCAGGACAAAGUAGUUCGUGUUCUUCAGUGCUGGAAGUAGCAGAAACCAAAGGGCUCACAGUUGUAUGAAAUAGUCCAUUGGAUAGUCGAUGUUUUGCAUAUGCCUAUGGUUUAACAUGCAAGAGUAUCUGGAAGUUCAAGCAAGAACUGUGCAGUGAGUGAUUUUUGAGGACUACAAGAAGAAUGAAUCAAAGACAUUAUCAACUAGCCAUCAUUCCUUAUACUGGCUUCAUCUUAACCAAAUCUGGAAACACACCCCAGACUGACAUUGUUUAGAGAGUGAACUCAGUGUAAAUCCCACGAUCCUCUCUGAGUGUUACAAUCACCAAAGCUAAAGACCCACUGGGUCGACGUUUUUCUCUAUUCUUCUCUCUGGGAUAAUAAAAGAAUUACUUCUUGUUGAAUAAAAG